rnacentral:rRNA from 1 species
UACGGAGGGUGCAAGCGUUAUCCGGAUUUACUGGGUUUAAAGGGUGUGUAGGCGGGCAAUUAAGUCAGCGGUGAAAUCUCCGGGCUCAACCCGGAAACUGCCAUUGAUACUAUUUGUCUUGAAUAUCGUUGAGGUAGGCGGAAUAUGUCAUGUAGCGGUGAAAUGCUUAGAUAUGACAUAGAACACCGAUUGCGAAGGCAGCUUGCUAAACGAUGAUUGACGCUGAGGCACGAAAGCGUGGGGAUCAAACAGG